UACGUAGGGGGCAAGCGUUGCCCGGAAUCAUUGGGCGUAAAGAGCGUGUAGGCGGCUCGGUAAGUCAGCUGUGAAAGUCCAGGGCUCAACCCUGGAAUGCCGGUGGAAACUGUCGAGCUAGAGUCCGGAAGAGGCGAGUGGAAUUCCUGGUGUAGCGGUGAAAUGCGCAGAUAUCAGGAGGAACACCAAUGGCGAAGGCAGCUCGCUGGGACGGUACUGACGCUGAGACGCGAAAGCGUGGGGAGCGAACAGG
rnacentral:rRNA from 1 species